rnacentral:lncRNA from 1 species
UUCAUAUGUUAACUGAUUACUAUACUAAUUACUUAACUAUAUCAUAUGUUAUGUUUAAUUACUUGUUUACUAAUUACUAUAUCAUAUGUUAUUGGCCUCGUGUAGAGUGUUAUUAUAGGUUCUUCUGUGGCCAGUAAAAUUAUACGAUAGCUUAAUAACACGGUAAAUAGUGGUGAUUGCCGUUUGAUAUAUGUAGUGGCUGCCACUAUACUCGUGUAGAAGCACUUGUAUAUAUUAACUCGCUUCCUGGUAAAUGACGAAGUGACGUUAAAGCAACGUUGAUUAUCUUCUGAUUUCUUUGAAAACAACGUUGAUUCCGUCCUGAUUUCUUUGAAAGCAACGUUGAUUCCGUCUUAUAUCUUUGAAAACAACGUUGAUUCCGUCCUGAUUUCUUUGAAAGCAACGUUGAUUACGUCUUGAUUUUAUUAAAACAACGUCGAUUACGUCUUGAUUUCUUUGAAGCAGCGUUUAAUUAAAGAUAUUCCAACGUUUUAUUUCUCGUCGGUCGCCCCGAAGGCACUCAAAGCGGAGCGGCGACGGUCUCUCGCCAGCGACUCGUCCUGCGGCGCGGACGACGAAUGCUUCGCGAGCGUCACAAGUUUGGUGACUCACGACACUGACGAAGGCAACGUCAACGCUACCGUCACCGAGACGUGCGCCUGCGAACCUCGUCAGCAGGCUUGCUUCAGGCGACCGAAAUGGGUGCGUUUUCACGAGGGGUUUCCGUUGCAGACGUCUGUUGACGUUGGCGAGUGUGCUGGUCCUUGCUCCCUCGAUGGAAAAGACUGUCGGGCAACCCACAUGAGGACGACGGCUAUCGAAGGACCGAAUGGUUCGGAAUGCGUGUCGGUGAUUGAGCAGUGCAGCUGCGUGGGCUCCUGCUUUAGGAUCGCUCAUCUGCAGCACAUUUACAACUUCACCUCCACCGACCCUGAAGCAAACUUCAGCGCUGACGGUAGAAUCGAGGUGGUAGACGUCGGUCGGUGUAGCGGCGAGUGCGAUGCCCUGGACGCGGGGGGCCGCUGCGUGUUCA